GGUAUUCAUCCGCAGGCCUCACAGGCCACAACAGUUUCUACAUUGUAUUAUUUCACAUCUUUUCUGACGUACUUUGGCAGUACAACAUCGAAAGGAAGAACAUGACAUCAACUUGCGACGCACUCUGGUUCCUCUGGGAGGAUGACACUGAAUUCUACAAAACCUGUAAUGGUGAAGAUGAGAUGGAGACCACUGGCGUUUCUCUCUGUGGCCCCUGACUCCACUGGUUCCAGCCCGGAGAACAUGUCCAUCGUGAUAGAGGAUGAAGUUAUGAGCGAGCUUCCCAGGUUGGCUGAUGCAUUUGUGGUGCUGCUUGGUUUAAUGUAUGCAUUACACUUAGAUGAUCCAAAGAAACUCACUCACACAUUCACAUUCAUCCAGAAAGUCCUGCUGUGUCUGGAUAAUG